rnacentral:rRNA from 1 species
UACAGAGGUCCCGAGCGUUGUUCGGAUUCACUGGGCGUAAAGAGUGCGUAGGUGGUGAGAUAAGUCGGAUGUGAAAGCUCGGAGCUCAACUCCGAAAUGGCAUUGGAAACUAUCUCGCUCGAGGGUUGGAGGGGGGACUGGAAUGCUUGGUGUAGCAGUGAAAUGCGUAGAUAUCAAGCGGAACACCAGUGGCGAAGGCGAGUCCCUGGACAACUCCUGACACUGAGGCACGAAAGCUAGGGGAGCAAACAGG